CUUUUCAUGUUUGCGUUUUUUUUUUGUAUUUGUAAUGUUUAUGUUAUCUCUGGACUGUAUUGUACUUGAAGGAUGACUUAAAGUCUGUUAACUGUACUAAACUUGACUGCAAGCAUCGACAAGCAAGUAAUUAUUUAUUUUCUCAGUCAUAUUAAUUGAAUACAAUAUGAAAUUUAAGUUGUCCGUGGCGAAAACGUCGUAUGGAUCUGUUUUUAUUAGCGCUGUAAAAGCUUAGUUGUAAAAUGCUUCAAAGGAGCCAACGCGUGAGAAACGCGAGUAGUCUCUCGAUCUCGUUUUAGUGAUCCAUUGUCCACGUGAUUAAUAGUAAGGAGAUGCCCAAUGUUAUUGUAAAACUUGGAGCUAUAGGUUAGCGCACACAAUAAAGAAAGAGCCGGAAUUCUGUUAGUGGUCACCCUCCUUUUGAACGUCGGUUGUUAAGAAAGCUUUGCGUGACACAUGAUCUAAAGUGAAAUAGUCGUAGUGAGGACAAGGGCGUGUGCGAUUUUUCCGUGAAGGAUUUUUUGUGUGAUUUCUUAGGGGUUUGGUUGUUUUAAGUUUGCUGCAUGUUAUCGUUGUUUCGAUUAAACCGACGCUCUUUGUUUGUUGCUACUGUUUCUCUGUGAGUAGCGAGUUUAUGAUAAUUAUUGUUUCCCAAGGGAAUAUCGGUUUCUGACAGGACGAAUGCAGACUUUAAUUCGAAAGAAAUUGGUGUGGAACUAGCACAGUCUAUGCUGACACUGUCUCACCCACCCUAGAUGGGAUGGUUCUUAACACAGAGAAACCAUGUGACGAAUUACUGAUACCAAUAUGCAGUCAACCCAAGACAGUUCCACAGGCCUACCACUUUAUUCCGUGAAUCUAUGUGCAUGACCAUGUUUCACGCCAGAUUUAAAGAUUUCAGGGGUGAAAUUAGAGAGCUCCUUGAUGCAAAACCUUCAGUGGAUGUGCCAUACUUGGAGUGUAAAACGCGUAAAAUGAUGGGCGAAGACCUCGUGUAUUCUCUUAGGAAGAGAAAAUUGCUCAUGGAUUCUCACGAUUGAAAGCGUUAGAAACAAUUUGCUGCCAAACACCGAGGAAACCGGAACCCGGAGCAUGCGCAUUAAUAAUUUUAGGUAAGGCCCCCUUAGCUUCCUUCCUUAUGACAAACCUGUCCCAUUCCAGCUCCUUGUGUACGCGGACCUAAGACACUCGCUGAAAAAGAGCAAAAACGGAGAAAUUACAAGGAGGGCUGCUUGAAAAAGUUAAAAUGGCGUGAUUGCUAAGUUGAUAAGAAAGCUGAACAGCCCAUGAGUUAGCUCAUGAGUGUUGUUUUCGUUCAGGCCAGACUUCCUUGUCACUUCUCUCGUGCAAUCUGUGACUGUCGAGACCUUAACAGAGGCAUUGCUUUGAAAGAGAAAAAUGGAGAGGCUGUGUGAAUGUUGAAAUAUCUUCCGUUUUCGCAAGAUCAUCGAUUUGGCGUUUGGGAAAAGUCUUUUCUGUUCGCGGUAACCUCAAGGGCAACCAACAAAGCGUGGUUGAGUUGAAUGCGUCACCACAAAAGACAAAGUAGAGGAAUCGGAACCCGGCGCAUGUGCAUUAAUAACUUUUUUUUUGACUACCGGGUUGCACUGUCGUCUUUUGACUGACGAGGAUAAUUAGUUAAUAAUAAGGUAAAAUACAGUGCCACAUGUCCGGGCAUCUGUCUAAGCUUUAACCCAAGUCAUAAAAGUAGCCUACAUAAAGAAUAAAACUCUGAACAUGUUGGGAUUUGAAGUUCAAAUAUCAUGGUGUUGUGGUACAUAUCUUUAUAAAGGACGCGGCCGGGAAUGGGAUCCACUAAACAUAACUCAAUACAGUCUAGUUUCUAAAGGUGCUGCGUCGUUGGGAGAGUAAAACAGGAAAUUUUUACUUUUACUAAAGAAGUUAAUUGAUAAAGGUGGAAUUUCAACCCAGUGAAGGAGUUGGAAAGCUGAAGUUCAGAGCGUUAGCCCUUCGCUAGAGCAUAGUGAGCUCUAAUGAAGCUCGAAACGUUAGCUUUCCAACUCUUUCUCUCUGGUAAUUCGACCUUUAUCAACUCGUUUGAUAAAACCAGAUUUUCAGAUCUUCAUAUAAUAAAAUGAAAAAAAAACGUCCCCCAAACAACCAAAGCCCCGAGUGAGUGUCUUAUCCGUAUAUUUUACUGCAUUGACAUCAAAGAAAUAUAACACAUUCACUAGGAUUUCACAGGUUCAUUCACACCAAGGUGAUUUGGGGGGGAUUAAGCGAGAGCCAUCACACAUACUCAAGACAGAUGGCCGAGCUUUUGCACCCGCCUGAGAAUUCUCUCAGACUCACCGAGGUUUUGUAUGAACCAGUGCAAAAUCUCUCUUAGUAGAUAUAUUCCAUUACUUUCAUUAAAAUCAGAAAGGGCAACAGAACAAGAAAGUGUGGUAGCCGUGUUGUCAUGUGUAAAAUCAGAAAUCGUGUUGCUGUUCUCGAAAAACCAGCACUUUUGCAUAGCUAGUCAUAAAUCCUGAAUUCGACCUUUAUCUUUGAAACUUUCUUGUGAUCCAGCAACUCGAUUCUUACUGAGUAAUACGCGUCACAAAUAUUCUUUUAUUUAAA